AGAGAAAGGGAGAGAGUGGGUGAUGGAGGAGGAGCACGUGUCCUGGAGAAACCGCAAGACAAUGCUGUAUUAAGAACAUCAGUCUGCUGCUUCAAGUACUGCACAGCAUGUACAGGGAAAAGGGAAAUCCUGCCUUAAAGGCACCAACUGCAUGGAAAAGCUUUUUAUUAAUUUCACAGUUCUUCAUAAUGAAAUGUACUCAAUUCGCACCUACCAAAAUUUGAGCUUGGCUUCAAAGUCUACUUCAAAUAGGGUCAUCAGCUGGAAGAAAGACAGACGGGCAGAAAUGAGUAGAUGUGAGGUUGCAAGAAGAUUGGCUCAUCUCUUCUGAAGGCAACACACAAGGACAGACUAGCUGGAGAUAAUAUGCUAGACUGAAUACAGGUCUCUCUGAUGUGGUAGACCUUUUCACUAAAUAGGUAUAUCAAGAAAAGUCAUUUCUAGUAGGAUAAUCUUUACAUCUAAAAAUAUGUAGUCGCUUU
rnacentral:lncRNA from 1 species